CAAGCUGAUUGAGCCGGCGGCCGUGUUUUUCUCGCGAAUUGCGCACAUUUGUCACGUUUUUCGCGUUUUGCAGACGAUUGGCGGGGAUGCAGCGGCUGUUGCACUCGUCGGCGCCGCUGUCGGCGCCGCCAGAAAAGGCCACGACCGGCAAGCUGCGGAAAAAGAGCGGCGACACGCUGAGCAAGUGCAGAAAAAAGGCGCUCGAGAACUGCGGAAAACUCGUCGCCAAGGUGGUACCGUGAGGCGCCAGGUCUACUUAGAAUCUCAAAGGUUCGACUGGAGGGCCGUGGAAAGUAUUAGCGGAGGGUGCAGGUGGUGCUGUCGGCCCAGGUCCAGUCCCAGUCCCAGGUCGACGUCGGGAAGGUUUUUAAAAAAACCAACAAAACCAAUUUUCGGCUCUCCAAGUAAUCGAAAACCGGUGUUAAAUUAGAAAAUAAAGAGCUUUUUGAAACAAAAUUUAAAAUAUCGACCCUGAAAAAAAUAUUUUCUUUGCAGACACCUGUUGCGUGAGGAGCUCGCUGAGCUGACGAGGGUUGCCGAUUAUUGGCAGAAGCAGGAGGCGCUGAGAAAAUGAUACCCUGGGCAGGGAAUCGCAGGUGGAGCAGCAGCACCGCCACUCCACCUUCGAGCGUUGAGUCGCACUCUCGUGGACCCUGUGAGCAUCCACCUAAUGUCUGCGGCGCCGGCUGGCAUGCACACAUACCUCCGGCGACGGCGCCGUUCCUCGCCAAGUGGCGCCGCGCCCACGAGCAGCUUGCGGGCCCGCCCGGCGCACCAAGCGGCCCACGUCGCUACUGGUGGCCGCCGGCGGCCAGCAGGCCCAAGUACUCGAGCACCGAGUCGAUGGCCACGAGCAGCAGCAGCAGCAUGUCCAAUUGUCCAGCAUUGACUCGCCGCGCAGCUCCACCACAACCUCCGCUAGCAGACGCAGCGACUCGCUGAGCUCGCACUCGUCCGGCCGACUCUGGCGGCGACCUCCGGAGGGCCGUGACUGGGCGGUGUCCACCCCUCGGCCUGCUCUCCAACGAACUGCCCAUUUCGGACAAGUCGCACGAGCCAGCCUACGAAACCUCCGACAAUAACAGAAAGUGGCAGAAAAGGCGUCGCCGAAGGGGAGGAAGCGGCCGCGACGCCGGUGGCGACACACGAGCUGCCGUGGGACAUGCCGAAACACAAAAAAUUGAACGUGAACCUGGGCUGCUCCGCCCUGAGCCCCAGGGGCGACGACGUUGACGUCAGCAUCCCCCUCGAGCGGCAAGGGUGGUUGCACGAAGCCAUCACGCGCGUCAAGGCUGAGGCCGAACUGCGACUGCACCCUGAGGGCAGCUACCUCGACAGGCACAGCGACCAACCCCGAUUAAGGCAAUUAUUUAAUCAGUAAAUGACGCCUUCUAUUAUUCGGGUGAGUUGCUGGACAAAAAUAGCGUCCUCUGGUCCGGCGGAGACCUCCAACGACGGCGAAAAAGGGCAAAACGUGCGUGCGUCCACGUCGAGAAGCAGGCCAACGAGAAGCUGAGGGACCUACCGCUUCAUUUGCCAACUGCCUCAAUACUGUUAUUCAAAUAAAUGUUUUAUUUGUUUAAAUAAUCUA